rnacentral:rRNA from 1 species
AACGAACGCUGGCGGCAGGCCUAACACAUGCAAGUCGAACGCCCCGCAAGGGAGUGGCAGACGGGUGAGUAACGCGUGGGAACGUACCCUUCGGUUCGGGAUAACUCAGGGAAACUUGAGCUAAUACCGGAUACGUCCGAGAGGAGAAAGAUUUAUCGCCGAGGGAUCGGCCCGCGUCUGAUUAGCUUGUUGGUGAGGUAACGGCUCACCAAGGCGACGAUCAGUAGCUGGUCUGAGAGGAUGAUCAGCCACAUUGGGACUGAGACACGGCCCAAACUCCUACGGGAGGCAGCAGUGGGGAAUAUUGGACAAUGGGCGCAAGCCUGAUCCAGCCAUGCCGCGUGAGUGAUGAAGG